GAUGAAGAACGCAGCGAAAUGCGAUAAGUAAUGUGAAUUGCAGAAUUCAGUGAAUCAUCGAAUCUUUGAACGCACAUUGCGCCCGCCAGUAUUCUGGCGGGCAUGCCUGUCCGAGCGUCAUUUCAACCCUCGAACCCCUCCGGGGGGUCGGCGUUGGGGAUCGGCCCCUCACCGGGCCGCCCCCGAAAUCCAGUGGCGGUCUCGCCGCAGCCUCUCCUGCGCAGUAGUUUGCACACUCGCACCGGGAGCGCGGCGCGGCCACAGCCGUAAAACACCCCAAACUCUGAAAUGUUGACCUCGGAUCAGGUAGGAAUACCCGCUGAACUUAAGCAUAUCAAUAAGCGGAGGA
rnacentral:misc_RNA from 1 species